ACAUACUGCUUUCCAUAAUAUGUUAUACCUUUACAUUAGGAACCUGUAGUUCUAGAAAAAAGGAUACUAUUUGCCAAGAAAAUUGGUCUGUUGAUCUUAAUAAAAGCUUAAGCUCAGUUGUUGAGAACUGAGAGAGAAAGGAAGAUAAACCAGUGAUAUAGCCAAAAUUGCUCUUACUUUAUCAGACAUACAUACUUUUGGUUGACAAUACAGACAGUGGUACCAUCUUUUGCUUUCUGCAAAUCUUAUACACACCCAUUUCUCUUUGUAAUAACAUAUUGUGGGUAAAUUUAUUAAUGAAAACAAAUAUAUGAAAAAUUAAAAAAGAAAUAAUUUUACUUUGAUUCUAUUAACUCAUGUAAUGUACUCCAAUAUUGAAUGAUAUAUCUUAAGUAUUUAUUUGUGUAUGUGUAUGUAUGUGUUCUUUAAAAGAAUAUUUUUGAUCCCUUUUAAGGAAAUCAUGAAGUUAGAAAAGUUGAUGUAUUAGGCCAUUCUCACAUUGCUCUAAAGAAUUACCUGAGACUUGGUAAUUUAUAAAUAAAAUGGUUUAUUUGGAUCACUGCUUUGCAGGUUUUACAGGAAGCAUGAUGCUGGCAUCUGCUCAGCGUUUAGGGAGACCCCUGGAAGCUUUGGCUCAUGGUGGAAGAUGAAGCAGGAGCAGACACUUCACAUGGUGAUAACAGGUGCACGAUAGAGUGAUUAAUCAUCUCUAUUAAUGUGGAAAAGAGAGGUUUCCUGGGACACUGGACUUUCAGUGCUAAGAGUAGGAAAAUCUAAGGAAAGCCAAAAGGAAUUGAUCAUUCUAGCUUCAGGGUGUCCUAAAGCUUGAAAGUUUUGGGGUACACGUGAAGAACAUGCAAGACUGUUGCACAGAUUUUGAUAUCAGGAUGAUGCCGGCCUCAUGGAAAGAGUUACAAAGGAGUCCCUCCUCCUCAAUUUAUUGCAGCGGUUUUAUUAGAAAUGAUACAGUGAAAAUAUGACCUUUUGAAAGUCAAGAAGAGGAUCUGCAACAGAAACAAAAUAUGCUGGUGCCUUGAUCUUAGACCUUCCAGCCUUGAGAUGGUGAGAAACAAGUAUUUGUUGUUUAUGCCACUCAGUCAUAUUUGUUGAAGAAUCUCAAAUUGACUAAGACAAUGAAUUUCAGAGAGACAUGAAUAUUUGAUCUAUAACAUGUCAGAAGAGAUUUAUACUACAUUUAUCUGCAAGCUCUCAGUCUGUCUACUCACUCCAUCACUAGGGAGGUGUAGUGAUUUUUAAUUGACAUAAUUGCAAUUGUACAUAUUUAUGGCAAACAAUUUGAUGUUUAGAUACAUACAUCUGUUGUGUAAAUAUCAAAUCAUACUAUUUGGUGUAUUCAAC
rnacentral:lncRNA from 1 species